rnacentral:rRNA from 1 species
UACGAAGGGGGCGAGCGUUGUUCGGAUUUACUGGGCGUAAAGGGCGCGCAGGCGGUUCGUUGUGUCGGUGGUGAAAGCCCCGGGCUUAACCUGGGAAUGGCCAUGGAAACUGGCGAACUGGAGUGUGGCAGAGGGGGGUGGAAUUCCGCGUGUAGCAGUGAAAUGCGUAGAGAUGCGGAGGAACACCGAUGGCGAAGGCAGCCCCCUGGGCUAGCACUGACGCUCAGGCACGAAAGCGUGGGGAGCAAACAGG